AGAGUUUGAUCAUGGCUCAGAUUGAACGCUGGCGGCAUGCCUUACACAUGCAAGUCGAACGGCAGCGCGGGGCAACCUGGCGGCGAGUGGCGAACGGGUGAGUAAUAUAUCGGAACGUGCCCUAGAGUGGGGGAUAACUAGUCGAAAGACUAGCUAAUACCGCAUACGAUCUACGGAUGAAAGUGGGGGAUCGCAAGACCUCAUGCUCCUGGAGCGGCCGAUAUCUGAUUAGCUAGUUGGUAGGGUAAAAGCCUACCAAGGCGACGAUCAGUAGCUGGUCUGAGAGGACGACCAGCCACACUGGGACUGAGACACGGCCCAGACUCCUACGGGAGGCAGCAGUGGGGAAUUUUGGACAAUGGGGGCAACCCUGAUCCAGCAAUGCCGCGUGAGUGAAGAAGGCCUUCGGGUUGUAAAGCUCUUUUGUCAGGGAAGAAACGGUCUGGGCUAAUACCCUGGGCUAAUGACGGUACCUGAAGAAUAAGCACCGGCUAACUACGUGCCAGCAGCCGCGGUAAUACGUAGGGUGCGAGCGUUAAUCGGAAUUACUGGGCGUAAAGCGUGCGCAGGCGGUUAUGUAAGACAGAUGUGAAAUGCCCGGGCUUAACCUGGGAACUGCAUUUGUGACUGCAUGGCUAGAGUGUGUCAGAGGGGGGUAGAAUUCCACGUAGCAGUGAAAUGCGUAGAUAUGUGGAGGAAUACCGAUGGCGAAGGCAGCCCCCUGGGAUAACACUGACGCUCAUGCACGAAAGCGUGGGGAGCAAACAGGAUUAGAUACCCUAGUAGUCC
rnacentral:rRNA from 1 species